UCAAAUCAGCCGAUAUCACUCACCUUUUCUCCUCCCUCCCACCACUAUACAUUAUCAACUUUGUGGUGUUCGAAAAGGCAAAUCUCACCCGCCAACCCUAUCGCCGGCCACCGCGAGUCAAGAGCACACCGAGCACACACAUCAACAACGACAUGGUUUCGGUGUCCCCUGAUGGAGAUCUUGUCUACGCCAUGAACGUUCAAACAGGCGAGGAGCGAUGGCUUCAGGUGAACGAGAUCACCAACAUGCCCGAAGAUGGAUACCUCGACGUGUUAGGGGUCAUCGAAACCCAAGAGAUUGGGGCAGAUGGCCAAGUGCGCACCUCGACGUGGAUGAUGAAGCUCUUAAGCGGUGAGAAAAAGGCCACGGCGAACAGGAUGCUGCAGAUGCGAAGAUACCGCUCCCUUCAAGUGGCAGGGGGUCUAAGACUAAGAUCCGGUGCUCCCAGAACUUUGUCAAGGCCCUCAUCCAGCAAUACCUCAAGCUCAAGCGCCUCAAGCAGUGCGGCCAGUGCGACGAAUCGCCAGCAAGUUGAUGCGCACAACAGGGGCGGGACACCUGCAGCCCCCAAUAAUGUGGCCUCAUCUAGAAGAGGCUCUAAUUUGCCGACCUCUCGAGACAACAAACCUGGAAAAAUUUAAACUCGCAGAUUUUUGUUGAAAACGUAGUGAAGAACCCUACAAUUGUUCUGAAGCAGCCGAUAAAAAGGUGACUUGUUUUCUGCCAAGUUUGACGCCGUCAUUAAAAGUUCACCAUUGUAUUCUCUGUGUCCACCAUAAAUUUUACUGUCAGCUGGUGGUCGACAAAUUCCCACUGGACGCAAGUGACCUCUUUUUCAUGACCAACGGGUGCGCAAUUGGGUACUUUUCAUCACUGUCAGUUCUCCUACCCAGUUAUGUUGACCGCAAGUAAAUGCAGCUUCCGUCAAAGAUCCUGACGCCAAAUAGUUGCCACAGUCCCUAAUACUAGCGUGCCUGUACAAACUAUAAAAUGCCUUUAAGGAAUUAUGGUUCUCUCAUGUUCUAAAAAUGCAUUUAAAUAUGUCCUAAAAGAAGUACACAAGUACAAAAUGUUUUGAAUGACAUUAGUUUUAUUAGAGUUUUUGACAAUUAUAAGCGAAAAAUACAAGAGCUUUUUUGCUUUGAUAACCACACCGUGUUUCAAGAAGAUUGAGGUUGUUCACAAGGGGCAUAAAGUGGCACUGGUUGUUCUGGAAAUUCUUCAUAGUAGGCGCUGCCGCUCAUCCAUUGCUUAGUCAAAUCUUGAAGUUUCAUGUCCUCAGGAGCUGGUCCAGUCUUCAUACUUUGGCUCACACAUCCUCCAGCACAUCGUCGUCUGUUUGCCCUGUGGAAAACAAAUUAUAUGAUCGCAUCAUCAUUAGAAUUAUAUCAUAUAUGGAUAAAUUUUUAACCUACACAAGAAGUUUUUCAUUGUUAGAGUGAGCAUGCGUAGAAUAAACAAG